rnacentral:misc_RNA from 1 species
UUCAAUCAUAUUCUGAUGUUUUUAAAACAUGGCAGAGAGAAGGUAUCAUUGAAGAAGUGAUAGUGGACAAUAAGAAUGAAGGCCACUACAUUCCUCACCACACUGUCAUAAAGCCGUCUAGCACGACCACGAUGUUACGACCCGUGUUCGAUGCGUCGGCUAAAGACUGUAAAGGUUUGUCUCUGAAUGACUGCAUAGAUAAAGGCAUUAACCUUAUUGAACUCAUACCUAAGCUGUUAAUUUUAUUUAGAAGAGGAGCUUAUGGAGCGAUUGCAGACAUAGCUAAGGCUUUCUUACAAAUCUCAGUCUCGAAGAAUGACAGAAAGUAUUUAAAAUUCUUGUGGUGGAAGGAUUUUGAAAUGCAGCAAGAAGUAGUUACUUAUCAACAUAAUAGAGUUAUGUUUGGGGUGAACUGUAGUCCCUUUCUUUUGGCUGCCACAAUUAAUUUCCAUUUAGAUAACUGUGGUAACAAGUAUAGAGAAACAGUUCAAAAGUUAAAAGAGUCCUUUUAUGUGGACAACUGUACAGCCAGUUUUGAUACAAUAACACAACGUGAUAACUUCAUUUCACAGUCGAGAGAAAUAAUGGCGAUGGCGAAAUUCGACCUACGUGGCUGGGUUACUGCUCCUGAAAGAAUGGAAGGAGCUGUGAAAGACACCCACGUGCUGGGAUUAACGUGGAAUACCGAAGAGGACACUUUAUGCUGUAACAUCAAUUCUAAUGAAAACUAUAAAGGAAAAAUCACAAAGAGAUAUUUACUGUCCGUGACACAGCAAAUUUUCGACCCUCUAGGAAUCGUCUGCCCGGCGACAGUUGUACCUAAGCGCCUACUCCAAAAAGUAUGGAAAAGAAAAUUCGACUGGGAUGAAGAAAUAUGUCCAGAGCUAGCACGUGAAUUCAAGAUAUGGCAAAGUACAAUACAUCUACUAAAGAAAUGCAAAAUACCUAGACGGUUAACAGCAGCACCAAUUAAGAAGUGUAAUAAUAGCAUCCACACUUUUUCAGAUGCAAGUGAAGACGCAUAUGCGGCCUGUGUAUACCUGCGGACUGAACAGGAAGGCAAGGUGCAUGUACAACUCAUAAUAGCUAAAAGCAGAAUCGCCCCAGCGAAUAAGAAGAUGUCUUUGCCACGGUUGGAGUUGAUGGGGGCUGUGAUAGCCUCGCGACUGUACAGAGAGGUCAUUGACAGUGGACUCAUGACACCAGAAACAAAUUAUAAUUCUUAUUUUUGGACAGAUUCGACCGUAGUGCUUGCAUGGGUAAAACAACAGCGUCAAUGGAAACCAUUUGUAAGCAAUAGAGUAAAAGAGAUAUCAAGAAACUCAGAUAUAGACUCAUGGAAUCAUAUAUCGGGGGAUUGUAAUCCUGCGGACCUGCCUUCUCGCGGUUGCAAUGCAAAUGCGCUGCUCGAGAAGCGUUGGUGGGAAGGACCGACGUGGUUGCGUAACAGGCAGGAUUGCUGGCCCAUAUCAAGUUCAAUACAGGCUAAACCAAAUGAAGAAAUUGUAAGAAAAGAAGAAAAAUCACAGUCUCACGUAAACAUGUCUGUUACUGAACCUCUGUUUAGUAAGAGGUUGUUGUAUUUUUCAAAAUACAACAAAAUAAUCAGAUUGGUAGCAUGGUUACUUCGUUGGAAUCCUAAGGUAAGGAGACAAUUUGCCGUAGCUAGCGACUUGUCUAACGACGAGUGUGUGUAUGCGGAAAAAACAUUAUUUAAAUUGUUACAGAAGGAGGAUUUCGCCGGGGGACAUUUACCAAACAACUUCAAGACACGACAAGGCAGCGACGGUGUACUUAGAGUCAAGACAAGACUGGAACUAAGUCACGAACACAAAGAUUUCGUAAACCCGAUACUGUUAUCUGGAAAAAACGAAAUCGUGAGACGGUUCGUACGACAGCGACACGAGAUUCUACAACACGCAGGGACACAGACUUUAAUGUCUAGCAUCAGAAAUGAAUUCUGGGUUUUAGGCAUAAGACGUCUCGCAAAAAGAGUUGUUUCAGAAUGUGUCAUCUGCAAGAAGUACAAAUGUAAACAUUACGAAGUUCCAGAGGCACCCCUGCCCACAGACAGAGUGGAAAGUGUGACGGCCUUCCAGACUACAGGCAUAGAUUUUGCGGGACCGUUGGUUCUACGAAAUCAGACGAAAUGUUGGAUCGCUCUAUUCACGUGUGCGACAUAUAGAGCAGUACACCUCGAACUAGUGGAGUCAUUGUCAACAAACAGCUUCAUAAUGGCACUACGAAGAUUCAUUGCUCGAAGAGGACGAAUACAAGUCAUAUACACGGACAAUGGAACAAAUUUUCAAGGUACUGCUAACUUGUUAAAUAAUGUGGAUUGGAAGGAAGUCGAAGUUACCACAGCCGUACUACCACAGCCGAUAAAAUGGAAGUUCAUCCCGCCCGCUUCUCCUUGGUGGGGAGGAUGGUGGGAACGUCUGGUGCGCGUCAUGAAGGAAAUGCUACGUCGGAUAUUGGGAAAAGCGUCAUUAUCAUGGAUAGAGCUGACCACCCUGCUAUGUGAAUGGACUAUCCACGGCAGAGACACCUGAUUUAGACGUAAUCGAUGCUCACAAUAUGAACAUCAGAUUGCGCUACCUGCAGACCCUGCGGACGGAGUUUCGACAGAGAUUUAGAAAUGAAUAUAUUUCGUUACUUAUUAGCAAGAACAAAGGUAACGACGGCAUAACAAGAGUCGCGAAAGUACAGACUGCGAUGGGAGAGAAGAUAAGAAGUUGUCAACGCCUCUACCCAUUAGAAUUGUCGGCAGUCACUGACGAGUGGCAUACACCUACUGUCCCUAAGCAAGGUG